AUGGGCCUUGGGGAAGGUUCUAAGAGCAAACCAGGCUCCAUCUUGACCUGCUGCACCCGCAGAGCGUUUUCUCCUCCUCAUUCACUGUUAGUGUGUAAGCCUGGACCAGCGCCUCACACCACAGAUGAGAGCGAUCCAGGCACCGCCAGACGUCAGCGAUCCAGGCAGAAAGCGCUGAGGGAAGGGGCAGCCUCUCAGGGUGUUCUCCCAGGCUCCGGGUUUGUCCUGAAACACACGCAGCUCUCCGACAGCAGACCACGCUCAUGCAAAGAAUGUUCCAGGAUGUGGUCAAACAACCAGCGCGCCCCUGAGCGUCAAUGAUUAUGCAGCAGCUGGCAGAGCGUGUUCAGCGCUGGUGAGCCAGGCCCACAUGACAGGAGCAACCAGGGUGGCCCAAGAGGAAGACCAGGACCGACCAGGGAUGAAGCUGGGAUGUAGCAUUUGGGAGCUCAAGUAGCUCCACGGACAGGUCUGGGUCCUUUGCUUCAGCUCAGGUGCAUUCAUUUGGGACUUUUGCAGGGCGAGAACAUAGCGGUGGUUUGAUAUUUGCUAAAAAAAGAGAGGUGUCGGCUGAGUGUCUUAAGAUAUUUAUCCUGGACAGGCACAGUGGCUCACGCCUAUAAUCAGCAUUUUGGGAGGCUGAGGCAGGCAGAUCACCUGAGUUUGGGAGUUUGAGACCCGCCUGACCAACAUGGAGAAACCCCAUCUCUACUAAAAAUACAAUUAGCCUGGCGUGCUGGUGCAUACCUGUAUUCCCAGCUAUUCGGGAAGCUGAGGCAGAAGAAUCGCUUGAACCUAUGAGGCGGAGGUUGUGGUGAGCCAAGAUCACACCAUCACACUCAAGCCUGGGCAACAAGAACGAAACUCCGUCUCAAGAGCCAAAAAAGAUAUUUAUCCUAAGGAACAUUCCCAAGAGGGGGCAAACAGGAGAUGCUAGGAAUUAAGGGCAUUUAGACUUGGACACACAAACCAAAACCCCUCAUUUUCACUGCACCGAAUGCAGAGAGACAAAAGCAGUAGCAGGAGGGAGCUGCCACCCAAGAACAAGGGGAAAAGCUUGUCCUCAAAGUGCUAAAUCAGCAAGUCCAUAUGUGAUAUAAGAGGCUCGUCGUCUGGUCUCACCAAGACUGUUGAAAUGUGUUUGAAAACACUCAAGAGGCAGGAAAGGGGACCCAAGAAUCGUCACCGGAAAGUGGACUUAGAUUGUGACUGCAAUCAGGUAAGCAGGAAUUUGGUCAACUCUGUUGAAUUCUGUGAGGGGAAACGUUGUUUGAACUUGAAAGCACAGGCAACUUCACACACAGAAUCGGUAAACUUGAAG
rnacentral:lncRNA from 13 species